UACAGAGGUCCCAAGCGUUGUUCGGAUUCAUUGGGCGUAAAGGGUGCGUAGGCUGUGUCAUAAGUCGGAUGUGAAAUCCCGGGGCUCAACCCUGGAACUGCAUUCGAUACUGUGGUACUAGAGGACUCUAGAGGAAAUUGGAAUUCACGGUGUAGCAGUGAAAUGCGUAGAUAUCGUGAGGAAGACCAGUGGCGAAGGCGGAUUUCUGGAGAGUUCCUGACGCUGAGGCACGAAGGCCAGGGGAGCAAACGGG
rnacentral:rRNA from 2 species